rnacentral:rRNA from 1 species
GCUCAACCGAAGAAGUGCACCGGAAACUGGGAAACUUGAGUGCAGAAGAGGACAGUGGAACUCCAUGUGUAGCGGUGAAAUGCGUAGAUAUAUGGAAGAACACCAGUGGCGAAGGCGGCUGUCUGGUCUGUAACUGAGGCUGAGGCUCGAAAGUAUGGGUAGCAAACAGGAUUAGAUACCCUGGUAGUCCAUACCGUAAACGAUGAAUGCUAAGCGUUGGAGGGUUUCCGCCCUUCAGUGCUGCAGCUAACGCAUUAAGCAUUCCGCCUGGGGAGUACGGCCGCAAGGCUGAAACUCAAAGGAAUUGACGGGGGCCCGCACAAGCGGUGGAGCAUGUGGUUUAAUUCGAAGCUACGCGAAGAACCUUACCAGGUCUUGACAUACUAUGCAAAUCUAAGAGAUUAGACGUUCCCUUCGGGGACAUGGUUACAGGUGGUGCAUGGUUGUCGUCAGCUCGUGUCGUGAGAUGUUGGGUUAAGUCCCGCAACGAGCGCAACCCUUAUUAUCAGUUGCCAGCAUUAAGUUGGGCACUCUGGUGAGACUGCCGGUGACAAACCGGAGGAAGGUGGGGAUGACGUCAAAUCAUCAUGCCCCUUAUGACCUGGGCUACACACGUGCUACAAUGGAUGGAACAACG